rnacentral:lncRNA from 1 species
AGAGCUGGCUGUGGGAAGGGAGAAGUGAAGUCAGUCACCUGGUGGUGAAGGCCAGUAAAACAGCAAAGCGGGAGGAAAAUUGCGUUCUCCCUCUCUUCUCUUCGCUCUUUUCUCUCUGUGGGAGCCACCUCCUAUUCUCUCAACUCUUUUAGCAUAACCUUCAAAGGAGAACGGUCCCUUCAGACUUUAUUACCGUCUUUUCCCCACUGAGAGAAUACCUCUUAGCUACAAGACAUUUUUUAAGUCUAUGCAGGACUUCGGGGAUCCAGUUAUCUUGCCAGAGAAAUUGAUGAUUGCUAAUGUCUGAGACUCGCAGCGUGCUAAAUUAGCUACCAGAGUAUGCCUGACGGAGGAAGGCUUUUAUCACAUACUCUUCUCUCCAGUUUGAACACAUUUGCUUGAAUUUUGCCGCAUGAUGCUGUCCAGGGAAGCAGCUUUUUUUCUUGGGAUGCAGCAACUCGCUGGUUUCUAAGCUUAUUGCAGAAGAGAGAAAAAAAAUCUGAAAUUGAGUGGAUUUUUCCCCCUCCUCUGCUUGAUUCUACUGAGCUGUGUUACCACGGCGGUAAAGAUCAACUGUCCCUAAAUCUUUGAAGAAGUAAAACAAAGUGAAUUAUCAUUAAUAUUUAUUUAUUUAUAUUAUUUUUAACCGGUGGAGGCUGCGAGACCACGGAGAAUGAGACUGAGAGAAGCUGCCAGGGCUUGGAGGAGGAUAAAGCUGAGUUUCAGCUGGAAACUAAAAGACUAGAUCGGUUCGGGGAGCAACUUGGCCGGUUCCUCUCCACUUCCUUUAGUUUCGCUCCAUGGACAGAUCCACGGACCUGGACAUCCAGGAGCUCAAGAUGACUCGAGAACAAUACAUACUAGCCACACAGCAGAACAACCUGCCGAGACCUGAAAAUGCUCAACUCUAUCCUGUGGGGAUUUAUGGAUGGCGAAAGAGGUGCUUAUACUUCUUUGUCCUACUGCUGUUGGUUACCAUGAUAGUUAACUUAGCCAUGACAAUAUGGAUAUUGAAGGUUAUGAAUUUCACUGUGGUAAGUA